UGGGUAGGGGAGCGUUCUGUAAGCCUGUGAAGGUGGCCUGUGAGGGUUGCUGGAGGUAUCAGAAGUGCGAAUGCUGACAUAAGUAACGAUAAAGCGGGUGAAAAGCCCGCUCGCCGGAAGACCAAGGGUUCCUGUCCAACGUUAAUCGGGGCAGGGUGAGUCGACCCCUAAGGCGAGGCCGAAAGGCGUAGUCGAUGGGAAACGGGUUAAUAUUCCCGUACUUGGUGUUACUGCGAAGGGGGGACGGAGAAGGCUAUGUUGGCCGGGCGACGGUUGUCCCGGUUUAAGCGUGUAGGUGUGUGUUCCAGGUAAAUCCGGUUCACUUUAACACUGAGGCGUGAUGACGAGGCACUACGGUGCUGAAGCAACAAAUGCCCUGCUUCCAGGAAAAGCCUCUAAGCAUCAGGUAACAUCAAAUCGUACCCCAAACCGACACAGGUGGUCAGGUAGAGAAUACCAAGGCGCUUGAGAGAACUCGGGUGAAGGAACUAGGCAAAAUGGUGCCGUAACUUCGGGAGAAGGCACGCUGAUAUGUAGGUGAAGCGGUUUACCCGUGGAGCUGAAAUCAGUCGAAGAUACCAGCUGGCUGCAACUGUUUAUUAAAAACACAGCACUGUGCAAACACGAAAGUGGACGUAUACGGUGUGACGCCUGCCCGGUGCCGGAAGGUUAAUUGAUGGGGUCAGCGCAAGCGAAGCUCCUGAUCGAAGCCCCGGUAAACGGCGGCCGUAACUAUAACGGUCCUAAGGUAGCGAAAUUCCUUGUCGGGUAAGUUCCGACCUGCACGAAUGGCGUAAUGAUGGCCAGGCUGUCUCCACCCGAGACUCAGUGAAAUUGAACUCGCUGUGAAGAUGCAGUGUACCCGCGGCAAGACGGAAAGACCCCGUGAACCUUUACUAUAGCUUGACACUGAACAUUGAGCCUUGAUGUGUAGGAUAGGUGGGAGGCUUUGAAGUGUGGACGCCAGUCUGCAUGGAGCCGACCUUGAAAUACCACCCUUUAAUGUUUGAUGUUCUAACGUGGACCCGUGAUCCGGGUUGCGGACAGUGUCUGGUGGGUAGUUUGACUGGGGCGGUCUCCUCCUAAAGAGUAACGGAGGAGCACGAAGGUUGGCUAAUCCUGGUCGGACAUCAGGAGGUUAGUGCAAUGGCAUAAGCCAGCUUGACUGCGAGCGUGACGGCGCGAGCAGGUGCGAAAGCAGGUCAUAGUGAUCCGGUGGUUCUGAAUGGAAGGGCCAUCGCUCAACGGAUAAAAGGUACUCCGGGGAUAACAGGCUGAUACCGCCCAAGAGUUCAUAUCGACGGCGGUGUUUGGCACCUCGAUGUCGGCUCAUCACAUCCUGGGGCUGAAGUAGGUCCCAAGGGUAUGGCUGUUCGCCAUUUAAAGUGGUACGCGAGCUGGGUUUAGAACGUCGUGAGACAGUUCGGUCCCUAUCUGCCGUGGGCGCUGGAGAACUGAGGGGGGCUGCUCCUAGUACGAGAGGACCGGAGUGGACGCAUCACUGGUGUUCGGGUUGUCAUGCCAAUGGCACUGCCCGGUAGCUAAAUGCGGAAGAGAUAAGUGCUGAAAGCAUCUAAGCACGAAACUUGCCCCGAGAUGAGUUCU
rnacentral:rRNA from 1 species